AUCCGCGCCUGCGCAGCCGCGGGUCGCCCAGGGUUGGGAUGUUGGUGUCGGCUGGGGGCUGCUGUGAGGCGCUUGGUAGCACCCAGUCCUGAUACUCUCCAGUUACCCGGUAGGCGGGGCUCGGACACAAAGAAAAGGUGAAUUCGCAGCUGAGAGCCCUUGUUUCCGGUCCUUUUUUUUUUUUUUUUGAGAUGGAGUCUCGCUCUGUCACCCAGGCUGGAGUGCAGUGGCGCCAUCUCGGCUCACUGCAAGCUCUGCCUCCGGUGUUCAAGCGAUUCUCCUGCCUCAGCCUUCUAAGUAGCUAGGAUUACAGGCGCGCGUCACCACGCUUGGCUAAUUUUUGUAUUUUUAGUAGAGCCGAGGUUUCACCAAGUUGGUCAAGAUGGUCUCAAACUUCUGACCUCGUGAUCCGCCCGCCUCGGCCUCCCAAAGUGCCGGGAUUACAGGCGUGAGCCACCGCGCCCGGCCGUCUCCGAUCUUUACACGCAUUCUUCGUGUUAUCUGAAGACACUCUGACGCCACCACCCAAAGCAACUGGCAGUUGACUCUUGGCAAUUUUAAGCUUGUGUGGAAAGCAGCCGCCGCCCGGUAGCUCCUUUUUAUCUAGAGACACUCAGGAUGUGGGGGACACCCCAGCAAUGCCAUCCCUCCUUUGACCUCCAGAGCGCGCAGAAUUACAAAGUUGAGUAAUACUUUAUUUGAAAAAAUGAAAAGUGCACACACACACACACACACACACACUUACAUAGGCACAGUAUAAUCUGGAAGUAUGACCAGCAAAUGAUAACUGAUUCCCUCAGGGGAGAAGAAACUGGGUGGCUGAAGGACAGGAAUGAGAAAGAAGGACAGUUGCGUUUGUUUGUAUCGUUUGAAAUUGUCCAGUGUGUAUGUGUUCUUUUCAAAUGUUUGAAGAACCAUUGGCUCCCUUAUCAAAAUGUAAAUACCAAGGAAAAUCAGGAAUUUAAGAAGUCUAAGAAUUCUGUAAUGCUGGGUAGAAUUUUCUGUACGUGUAAAACUAAAAUGUCUUUUGUAAAUCACUGAGUCUUCCUGUUUAUUUCUGGUUAGAGAUCUUUGGGGGCUUGGAUGGAGGAACAGGAAAAGAGGA
rnacentral:lncRNA from 10 species